UACAGAGGGUGCAAGCGUUAAUCGGAAUUACUGGGCGUAAAGCGUGCGCAGGCGGUUAUGUAAGACAGAUGUGAAAUGCCCGGGCUUAACCUGGGAACUGCAUUUGUGACUGCAUGGCUAGAGUUUGGCAGAGGGGGGUAGAAUUCCACGUGUAGCAGUGAAAUGCGUAGAUAUGUGGAGGAACACCGAUGGCGAAGGCAGCCCCCUGGGUCAAAACUGACGCUCAUGCACGAAAGCGUGGGGAGCAAACAGG
rnacentral:rRNA from 1 species